UGUCAAUGGAAAAAAAUCAACAGAUUUUGCUGCUUUUGAAGCAGUAGCUGUCGAUAAAACAGCUGUAUCGCCAUAGCGGAUAAGAGCCGCUCCAUUGGCCUGUUUUGCAAGCUGGCCUAUUUCAACGGUCAAAUUCCGUCCGGCCCAUUCCAUAGAAAACACUUUUUUCUCGUGGUCCAUUUUACAACGCCUCUCUUUCAUAACCUAAUUGUAAAUAAUUGGCAGAAACAUAAAGUAAAAAACUCUCGCCUGAUACGCAACUGAACAUUAGACAUAGAUAUGAGCAUCUCCUACCCAUGUCCAAUGUUCAGUUCGAAUAUGCGCCUUUUGGCGCA
rnacentral:antisense_RNA from 1 species